UAGGGAAUCUUCCGCAAUGGGCGAAAGCCUGACGGAGCAACGCCGCGUGAGUGAUGAAGGUCUUCGGAUCGUAAAACUCUGUUAUUAGGGAAGAACAAAUGUGUAAGUAACUAUGCACGUCUUGACGGUACCUAAUCAGAAAGCCACGGCUAACUACGUGCCAGCAGCCGCGGUAAUACGUAGGUGGCAAGCGUUAUCCGGAAUUAUUGGGCGUAAAGCGCGCGUAGGCGGUUUUUUAAGUCUGAUGUGAAAGCCCACGGCUCAACCGUGGAGGGUCAUUGGAAACUGGAAAACUUGAGUGCAGAAGAGGAAAGUGGAAUUCCAUGUGUAGCGGUGAAAUGCGCAGAGAUAUGGAGGAACACCAGUGGCGAAGGCGACUUUCUGGUCUGUAACUGACGCUGAUGUGCGAAAGCGUGGGGAUCAAACAGGAUUAGAUACCCUGGUAGUCCACGCCGUAAACGAUGAGUGCUAAGUGUUAGGGGGGUUCCGCCCCUUAGUGCUGCAGCUAACGCAUUAAGCACUCCGCCUGGGGAGUACGACCGCAAGGUUG
rnacentral:rRNA from 1 species